GGGGGAGCCAGGCCGACCUGGGCAGGGGGGUCUGGAAGGACCCUCUGGACCAAUAGGUCCCAAAGGUGAGCAAGGAGCCAAAGGUGAUUCAGGUGCACCUGGAGUUGGCCUCCGAGGAGAGAUGGGACCUCCUGGAAUUCCAGGUCAACCCGGGGAACCUGGUUAUGCAAAAGAUGGACUCCCUGGGACCCCUGGCCCUCAAGGAGAGACAGGACCAGCUGGACAUCCUGGCCCCCCAGGCCCACCUGGCCCCCCUGGCCAGUGUGACCCCUCCCAGUGUGCCUACUUUGCCAGCCUUGCUGCCCGACCGGGUAAUGUGAAGGGCCCCUAGAAGAUUCUGGAAAGCCAGAAGACUGCAGUGGAUUUCUGAAACUUGAACUCAGAGCCUGAUGGGACACCCGAGGUCUUGAAAUAUUUCAGUGACAUGUUUUUUUUUCUUUCUUUUAUUAUUUGUUUUUGUUUUAUUUCCUUAAGAGACCUCAAGAUUAUUAAAACCAACAGAUGCUGCCGGUCGGUCAGAUUAUUAUUAAUAUUAUUAUUAUUGUUAAUUAUUAUUAUUAUUUCAUAUGCUAAUGCUUUUUGAGGUUUUUCCCUCUCUAAAGUUGGGGAAACUUGAUUUGUGGGGCAGAAGAUUGUUCUCAGUUCUUCUGACAGCCCCCACCUGACGUGUAACUGCCGAUUUUAACACAUGGUGCUAUGAAACCCUGACCGGACACUUGCCAAAUUUACCUCUUUUCUCAAAAGGAAACCUUAAGAAAAUGAGCCAAUGAGCUUCUACUCCCAGUUGUGCCCAGAGGUUUCCCAGAGAGAAAUAAUCCCCAAAUCACUACUUCCCAGGAGAGAGAAAUGAAGCAGGAAGAUAAUUUGCAGACAGGAAUAACGUUCUUGCCUCCUGAUGGAAACUGCACCCAGAGAUCACAGAAGCACCCCAGGGAGCACCCUGACCUCCUUAGUGUUUCAAGCUUUUAGAAGCAAAAUAAUGUCACAUGGGCUGACAUGGUUUUAUGGCAAUCCUGUGUCUAUGCCAAAGAUGGGGAAAUGAGUUUAAGUAACAGCUCCGAGUGUUAAUUUGGCUCUAAGCCUUGGAUAAAACUCCUUCAAGUGCCUUCUGUUGGUUUCAGUCAUGUUAAUUGUAAAAUUAAAGGGUCUGGUGACCAUUCACUUGUGUUUCCCUAAUGGUGGACAGUUGGCCAGGAUGCUGACCAGAGCUGGGAAAUCUGUCUCCAAGGUUCUCUCUCUGAAAUAAAUCUCAUGAGUGCGUAUGUGUAUGUGACAUGCCUUGAUCAAACAGGUGCUCAAUAAAUCCGAGUUUUCUACUCAC